rnacentral:rRNA from 1 species
AGCUGAUCCAGCAUGCCGCGUGUGUGAGAAGGCCUUCGGGUUGUAAAGCACUUUUGUCCGGAAAGAAAUCCUUGGCUCUAAUACAGUCGGGGGAUGACGGUACCGGAAGAAUAAGCACCGGCUAACUACGUGCCAGCAGCCGCGGUAAUACGUAGGGUGCGAGCGUUAAUCGGAAUUACUGGGCGUAAAGCGUGCGCAGGCGGUUUGCUAAGACCGAUGUGAAAUCCCCGGGCUCAACCUGGGAACUGCAUUGGUGACUGGCAGGCUAGAGUAUGGCAGAGGGGGGUAGAAUUCCACGUGUAGCAGUGAAAUGCGUAGAGAUGUGGAGGAAUACCGAUGGCGAAGGCAGCCCCCUGGGCCAAUACUGACGCUCAUGCACGAAAGCGUGGGGAGCAAACAGGAUUAGAUCCCCCCUAGUCAA